CAUCAACUGUAUUAAAAAAAAAAACCAACAGCAAAACAUUCAGUUAUCUGAGUACUUCUGCUGGUCCUUAUCCAACGAUGUCAGUUCUGGAUGCGUACGUUUGUACUAUGAAUACUCCAAACUCCACUGAGUAACAGUGGACCAGCUCAUUAAUGUUAACUUCCUUCUACAUAAUUAACGCAGUGCAGCACAAAACGUUUAUUUCAGUUUAGUGAAAAAUGCUAUUUUCUUCCAAGAUCUUGGUUUUAGAAGCUCCUCCUGUAACGACAGGUUUAGAAUUAAGACUGAGUGAAGUCUGAAUUCUUUUCUCCUCGUGACAGAAGAUACUAAGCCAGUAAAAGAAAGAAAUGCUAGCAGUUAGCAAAGCACUGACAACACAGGAGAAAGAUGCAGAUAAAAGAAUGUAACAGGGAUCAACAUGCCUUGUGAGUGAAUUAAAAAAUCUUCUGAGAGUUAGGUGAUGUGUUUACCUGGCACAAUGUAAUUCAGGCACUUCUACAGGCCUGCUUAUUAAUUUAUUAAUAAUUUAUUAAUUACCCGAAGCACUCAAAAAUUGUUCCUAAAUAAAAGAUUUGCCUGUGGAUCAAUGACAUAUUUGAAAUAAGACAAGAAUGAAAUAAUCUGCAUUUCAACUUGGAGAAUGCAACAUCGAUCAACAGGCUUCAGCUUUACUGUAAAUUGACUUGCUCCUUUAGGCCUGGAUGUACUGCAGAAAUAAGCAUCACAUAUACAGCUCAAAUUCAAUGCACAACUAGAUGUCAACAGCAAGUUCAGACUUUAUAACCAGUCUGAAUUGCGAUUUUUUUUUUUACAUAUCCUUAUAUAUGUGUAAGAGCAAGGUGGAUUCCAUUUUGCUUUAUGUAUCUGUAUGGGAACUGCUGAGUCCCGGCCUGCCCCACUGAUGGAGACCUGUGGGAAGGACCCGUCAGCCCUGGGAGCACUGGGAGCACAGGUGAAGGCAAUGCAGCUGUGUGAGCAGGAGUGGAGCCUGGCUGCACCUCUCUUAGACCCCAUGGAAGGGCUGACUGCCACUGGGGAAGGAUCUCUUCCUGGAGAUCCCUCCUUGGUGGAGCUUUUCCCUGUGAACCUGGAGUCUUCUGAUACAGAUGCGGCUCAUACAUCUGGCACCAGUGUUACUUGUCAUCUCACAGAUCAAUUGCCAUAGUGCUGUGCCACACUUCUCUCACAGUCCACAGAAGUCCUUGAUGUAGUAAAAAGCUUUUGAAUUUAACAUACACCCAAAGGUCAGAGCACCAGAGUAAAAUCUGGGAUUGUGCAAAUGUUAGGGCCUCUAUAGCUUCAGGACAUGGCCCUGUUGGGAGUUCAGUCCAGACCUAAAUGGAAAUAUGCUCCUUUGAAUUCACUCAUUCUUCUUCUAGACAGUCAGAUAAAGAAUAACAUGGUCCUCUAUCCCCAGAGACAAAGAUCCUUUAAGAGACUCCAAUAUCUAACGUAAUCCAUGCAUCAGUUUGGUCCAUCUGCCUGACUAAAUCUUAAUAGACCUGAGUCUUCUUUAGAGAGGAAUUGACGCAGUUUGAUUGCUUUUAUAUUGACAGCUACAGCUUUACUAAUACCUUUUGUUAAGCAAAAGAGAACUACAGGGCUUCUGAAAGCCCCUGUGAACAUCACCGAUUUCUAAUGCCAUGAUGACUUCUUCAUGAGAAAACAACUUCUCAGCAUUAGUGAUGAUGGGGAUAUUUGCAGUCUAACCACCAAACCAACAGUGUCACAAGCUGAAAUACAUCAAGGCUACGUAACGUGCAGAGCACUGCUCUCACUUCCCUAUCCUUGCUCAGUUAUUUCUGUGGCCACAUAUGGACAGAACCUCAACACAGCUCAACAGGGAGGCUGGAUUUUCAGAGUGACCUUAUCAGUAUCUCUACCUAUUUCCUGACUCAAGAGCACAUUCAGAGGCUUCUAUUUGAAACACCGUAUGACUUUUUAUUUAAAAAAGGGAACAGCAACCUUGUUCC